UACAGAGGGUGCGAACGUUGCUCGGAAUUACUGGGCGUAAAGCGUGCGCAGGCGGUUUCGUAAGUCUGUCGUGAAAUCCCCGGGCUUAACCUGGGAAUGGCGAUGGAGACUGCGAGGCUAGAGUUUGGCAGAGGGGGGUAGAAUUCCACGUGUAGCAGUGAAAUGCGUAGAUAUCGGGAGGAACACCUGUGGCGAAGGCGGCCCCCUGGUCGGAUACUGACGCUGAGACGCGAAAGCGUGGGGAGCAAACAGG
rnacentral:rRNA from 1 species